UGUCACCCCAAUAAAUUCAAUAAAAAUGAGUAAAAAUAGAACAAUUUAAAUUAAUAACUAUAUGGCACAGUAAUAAAAAUGUCACAAAACAAUAUGCCCUCAUUUUUUAAAAAUUGGUAUACAAUGUGAAAUGUGAAUGUGCAUCUAUGUUUGUGUAUUUAUGUACAUAAACUAGAGGAAAAGAAGAGAAUAAAAACUAAACACUAAAAUGUUAGUAAUUACUACAUGGUAGAAUUAUAGACUUUUACUUUCUUCUUUAUGCCUUCCUGUGCUUUCCAGAUUAGAAACACAUACCUAAAUACAAUAAAUAACUUUUUAAAAUAAAACCUUCCAGCAUUUGUCAUUGAUGGUAUAAGCCAACAAUCUCAACUUAAUCUAAUAAGCAAUACAACGAAGUUAUAAAAGUUAUUUCUUAAGGCUAAAUUUGGUAUCUGAAAAAAUUUAAAUUCUUACCUAUUCUGAACCAAUCACCCUGUUACUAUAGUAACAGUUAAAUAACAGCAGUAUAUAUAAAAAGUUCUAUUUAGAUAAAGGGAAGAUGAAGCUUAUUAAUCACUAGUAUUCAGAAUACAUCAUGUACAGAUUCACUUUUCUUUAGAAAUAGUCAAAAAUCUAUGUGUAAAGCCUUUGAUCUCAUUAAAUUUUUGAAUUACAGACCCUUUAUAACUGACUGACAAAGGAUAAAAGGCCAAUUCAUAUUCUGAAUUUUCUGAAAAACUUUUCUAAUAUUCUAAUGCUGAAUUUUAUUAAUCUGGACAUAGAGUAUAAAUCUACUGAAUAGACAAAUGCUCCUCCCCCAAAGAAAUUUCCCAUUUAUAAAGAACGACAUAUUCAAAGGCUUAUUCUAGACUGGAAACACUAUCAAAACAACACAGUACAGUCACUUGGGAAAACAGUUUAAAAGUUUCUUUAAAAACCAAACAGCAACUACCAUAUGACCUAGGAAUCACACUCCUGGGCAAUUACCCUAGAAAAAUAAAAACAUUCACACAAAAAGCUGCAUGUGAAUACUUAUAGCAGCUUUAUAUGCAAUAGCCAAAAACUGGAAAUGAGGCAGAUGUCCUCCAAUGGGUAAAUAGUUAAACAAAUUAAUAUAGCCAUACCGUGGAACACUAUUCAGCAAUAAAGAAUGAACUACAGACAUUUGCCAACAACUUAAAUAAAUCUUUAGAAAACUAUGCUGAGUGAAACAGCUAAUCACAAAUAGUAUACACUAUAUGAUUCUAUUUACAUACCAUUCUUAAAAGGACUAUAGAAAUUAUAGAAUCAGAGGAAUAAAGAAGAGAUUGCCAGAGGUUAACUGGGAGGAAGAGUGGUAAGAGUAAAAGAAGGGGAUUAGUUACAAAAGGGCUACAUGAGGGAUCCCUGUGGUGAAGGAAAUGUUCUCUGUCUUAACUAUAGUAAAUACCAAUGUAAAUACCCUAAUUUUGAUACUACUGCAGUUUUGUAAGAUAACAAUACUGAGAGAAACUGAGUAGAGGGUACAUUAGAUUUCUCAAUUAUUUCUUACAACUGCAUAUUAAUCCAUGAUUGUUUCAAAAUAAAAAGUUCAAUCUAAAAAUACUACAGCAUUUUAAGGGCACUCUCCAACACAGAUUACAUGAAAAUCAAAGACCUUCUCUUCAGGAAUUUACAAUCUAAACCAGAAAACACAAA